GAAGACAACCAUCUAUAAUCCAGGAAGUGGACCAUCACUGAAUCUGUCAACACCUAGAUAUUGGACUUUCCAGCCGCCAGAAUGGUCUGGAGGCUGCCAGCCCUGAGAAUUUAUGCCAUUGGCCUCUGGGGUCUUGCCGACUGCAGAUCUGGGGAAUUCUAAGCCUCCACGGUUGUAUGAGAAAACUCCGUGGAAAGAUCUUCAAAAAUACAUAUAACCCGGAGCGAAGAAAACCUGAAAAUUUGCCCUAGGAUGAAUAGGGAAAUGGGAUGGAGUUGAACAUUUCUCUGCCCACCUCUGCAGAGGGGAUUUGGUCUUUCCUCGAGUGGAUGACAGAUGAGGUUGGUAACCUGGAGGAACCUUAUCCUGGUUUCAUGUGGGAUUGUUCAAGCUAUAAUUAUUUGAAGGUUUCUGUGUGGCUGGAGGAUCCAAGUCAUUCUCACUCAGAUAUGGGGCAGUUGAUGCUGGAUGUUGGCUCAUUCUCUUCCGUUCUCCACCUGAUCACUCAUCCUCUGCUCCUGGAACAUUCUCUCGUUGGAAACAGCUGCCACCCAGCCUUUGCGGCUCUGUCGUGAUGGAAGAGGACAGCCUUAUGAUAGUGGGAACUGUUUAUCUCCAUACCAUGGGUUAUCUCUUGGGCCAUCUACGAGAAGCUCCAAAAUUGUUGUCUGAGUCUGUCUUGACGUUCCCUUUGGGGACUUGGAGGGAACACAUGGAAGCCAGCAACAUCGGUGACACCCUUCAGAUCAGGGGCUACCUGGAAGGAAAAGCAGCAAUACUGUACCUACCAGUAUCACCCAGAGCACCACAGGGAGACUUGGGGUGUGUCUCUAGCUACCAGAAAUUGCCAGCAGUGCACCCCACAGCUUCUCCAGGACCAGCUGCUCCUGGAACUUUCUCUCGCUGGAUACAACAGCCACCCAGCCCUUUGUGGCUCUGUUGUGAUGGAAGAAGACAGCCUGGGAUAAUAGGUGCUGUUGAUCUCCAUCUCAUGGGCCAUAUCUUAGGCCAUGUUCCUACAGUGGUUGUGAAAGUGGCAAGUGAAGGUUUUAUCUCUAUACACACUGGUCAGUAUCUGCGUCAUUUCCAAGAGCUGACCUUGCCCUUGAAAAUGUUUUCUGUGAAGUUGCAGAAUGUGUUGGUUCUGUUCUUCCUGGGUUUUCUGAAGUUUUAGCUUCAGCUGCUCAAUCUCACUGUCAAGCCAUGAAUUUUCCUGUUGCAGAGAUGCGUUCUGGGUUUGGAGACUGUGUAUUUGUAAUGUCAGCAUGGCAAUCUCUCCCCUUUCAGCCCUCAGUUGUCUGAUUCUGUCUUGAGGUUUACUUUCAGGACUUGGAGGGAAGAUAUGGAAGUCAGCAACAUCAGUGACGCCCUUCAGAUCCACGGCUGCCCAGCGGGCGUGGUGAUCAGCAUUUCCUCCUCUCCUUUUUUGUGGGAUUCCCCAGGUUGUUGCACCUGUGUGAUCUGCAGGGAUGUCAGGAGAGGGGACUGCAUAUAGCCUGGCUCCUGCCCUGGGGGAUUGUGACUGGCUGGCUUGAACUUUGGGGAUGUGCUCCAUGCGUGCUUCGAGGGCUCUAGCCUUUCUUCCGCCUCCUUUUUAGCCCUCUCUGCCUCCAUCAUGGAAUUUCUUGCUUGAGAGGUUCUAGUUGUUCAUUUAAAUCUGUGUUUUCAAUGUAAUCACUCAUUCUUUUUUUACAAGUUGUUCUCCAUCCUUCUCCAAUUUUCUCCCAAUGGGUUUUUCACCAGUGACUUGGGACAAUCACAAGGCUUUGAACCCUUCUGUGCCUUUUUCAGAAAGUUGGCUGUGUCCCAUUGUUACCUGCUUAGGUCUGUAUUUAUUGCUGACAAGCAAGAUGUUUUUAAUAUGUCAGUGUAAGGGCCUAUUUAACCAGAGGGAGCCAUUUUUUUGUUUAUGCAGUAAAUUUUGAUUGACCCUGCCCCUCCCAGAGGAACUUACUUAAAAGCAAGUCUGGGAAACCAGUCCAAGGUAGCAAAGCCCAGAUACAAGGGCAGGUCAGGCCAGCUGGAGACAUCCAAUCAGUGUUGUGUGCAUACUGUCUCCCUAACUACCAAGGAGAGUGGGCCCCAUCUUUUGGGUGCCAAUUCUGACCAAGGUGAUAGGCUAGUUCAAAUAUCUGUAGGGUAAAUUAAAAUUCAAUUGGCCACCUGUGUGUGACCUAGCAUGACUGUGCAGUUUUCUCUGUGUGUUGCAAUCUCAUUGGCCACCUGUGUAUGGCCAGGCUCAAGCCUAUGGCCUUUGCUCUAUAAAAGUUAGUCUGUGAGGCUGUGAGGGUUUGUAAGAGACGGCCCUGACCGAUUGGUUUGAUUCUCAAUGCUUGGCGUGAAAUAAAGCUUUGCUUGACCUUCA